GGGCUUGUGGUCUAGUGGUAUGAUUCUCCCUUAGGGUUCACCUUAAACAAACAUCUGGGAGAGGCCCCCGGUUCGAGCCCGGGCAAGCCCC